AUUGAACGCUGGCGGCAUGCUUUACACAUGCAAGUCGGACGGCAGCACAGAGAAGCUUGCUUCUUGGGUGGCGAGUGGCGAACGGGUGAGUAACAUAUCGGAACGUACCGAGCAGUGGGGGAUAACUAAUCGAAAGAUUAGCUAAUACCGCAUAUCUUCUGAGGAAGAAAGCAGGGGACCAUUUGGCCUUGCGCUGUUUGAGCGGCCGAUAUCUGAUUAGCUAGUUGGUGGGGUAAAGGCCUACCAAGGCGACGAUCAGUAGCGGGUCUGAGAGGAUGAUCCGCCACACUGGGACUGAGACACGGCCCAGACUCCUACGGGAGGCAGCAGUGGGGAAUUUUGGACAAUGGGCGAAAGCCUGAUCCAGCCAUGCCGCGUGUCUGAAGAAGGCCUUCGGGUUGUAAAGGACUUUUGUCAGGGAAGAAAAGGGCGGGGUUAAUACCCCUGUCUGAUGACGGUACCUGAAGAAUAAGCACCGGCUAACUACGUGCCAGCAGCCGCGGUAAUACGUAGGGUGCGAGCGUUAAUCGGAAUUACUGGGCGUAAAGCGGGCGCAGACGGUUACUUAAGCAGGAUGUGAAAUCCCCGGGCUCAACCUGGGAACUGCGUUCUGAACUGGGUGUCUAGAGUGUGUCAGAGGGAGGUAGAAUUCCACGUGUAGCAGUGAAAUGCGUAGAGAUGUGGAGGAAUACCGAUGGCGAAGGCAGCCUCCUGGGAUAACACUGACGUUCAUGCCCGAAAGCGUGGGUAGCAAACAGG
rnacentral:rRNA from 1 species